rnacentral:rRNA from 1 species
UACGGAAGGCAGCAGGGGGAAUAUUGCACAAUGGGCGGAAGCCUGAUGCAGCGACGCCGCGUGAGGGAUGACGGCCUUCGGGUUGUAAACCUCUUUCAGCACGGAAGAAGCGAAAGUGACGGUACGUGCAGAAGAAGCGCCGGCUAACUACGUGCCAGCAGCCGCGGUAAUACGUAGGGCGCAAGCGUUGUCCGGAAUUAUUGGGCGUAAAGAGCUCGUAGGCGGUUUGUCGCGUCUGCUGUGAAAGCCCGGGGCUUAACCCCCGGGUGUGCAGUGGGUACGGGCAGACUUUGAGUGCAGUAGGGGAGACUGGAAUUCCUGGUGUAGCGGUGAAAUGCGCAGAUAUCAGGAGGAACACCGAUGGCGAAGGCAGGUCUCUGGGCUGUUACUGACGCUGAGGAGCGAAAGCAUGGGGAGCGAACAGGGAUUAGAUACC